UACGAAGGGGGCUAGCGUUGCUCGGAUUUACUGGGCGUAAAGGGCGCGUAGGCGGACAGUUUAGUCAGAGGUGAAAGCCCAGGGCUCAACCUUGGAAUUGCCUUUGAUACUGGCUGUCUUGAGUACGGGAGAGGUGAGUGGAACUCCGAGUGUAGAGGUGAAAUUCGUAGAUAUUCGGAAGAACACCAGUGGCGAAGGCGACUCACUGGCCCGUUACUGACGCUGAGGAGCGAAAGCGUGGGGAGCGAACAGG
rnacentral:rRNA from 1 species